CCGCCAGCAUCCCGAGCCCCGCCGACGCGAUCACGAUGGGGGAAACCAUCUUCGCCGAAAAACCAACCCAAGAAUCUCCCUUCCCUUGGUGCGCAGACUGCUAGCUAACCGGAAACGGAGGAGCAACUGCAGGGGAGGAGGAGGAGUAGGAACUGUAUUUCUUGGCUUCCUUGCCGUGUGUACUUGGCUGGUGCUGGUAGGAGCGGGAGAAGAAGAGAUAUCGAUGGGCGUGUGUGGACGAGGAGAGGUCGUGGCAAUCUGUUGUUUUUGUGGACGGGGUGCGCCGAUUUAUAGGAUUUUUAUCGGGGGUUGAGGUUGUAGGAAGGUGGGUGCUGGGAUAGUUUGUUCGGCAGUUUGGAGGGUAGCGGAGGCGGGGAAGGGAAGGCGUGCCCGCCUCGUUGCCUUUGCUUGCCUGCAUGGUCUGCAUCCGUCGGCUACUCUGCUAUGCUUCCGUGUUUCGGUUGCGGUUUCGUGUGCGCUGCUGGCUGCUUGGCUGCUUGCUGGUUCCUUCUUCUGUGUUCCUUUCCUCUUCCAUGCCACGAGACGAUUCUCUUGAUUACUUGCAAGAUUCUGAUUUAAAGACAUCCCUAGCGGAUUCCUUAUUUUCGCCCUAUUUGUCAAUCGGAAAACAUCAUCCAAUGGGCUCCUCUGGAUAGUCCCGACUGUUCGGUAUCGCCAGUCCCGCCUCAAACUGAAGGAACAAAUAAGGUAGUUUGAACUGUCCGCCACAUUUUUUUGUACCACAUUUUCAUUAGGCAAACCAAAACAGAGUGGUCAAUCGUCCCAGAAUAACAGCAUAUCCACCCUAAAAGGAAUAAGAAUUAUAACAAAGACCAUAAAGGAAGAGAUUGCUGAACUAAAUCCAAGCCUGUUGUCAUCUUCCUUUCACGUCGGCGCCACAUCGCAUCGAAGCUUUCUGAACCGAAUAAAGAACCGCCAUGAACAGCAGGAUACUUAUCUCUGUGGCAUAACGGUCGGGGAACAACCCCGAACACUUCAGGUCUCGAAACCGCCAUCUUCAGGCAACGCCGUUGAAGAAGACAGACAAAUUCGCCAACCCUCACACACAAACCCAGUACCGAAGAGGUCGUCAGCAU
rnacentral:lncRNA from 1 species